rnacentral:rRNA from 2 species
AAAUUGAAGAGUUUGAUCAUGGCUCAGAUUGAACGCUGGCGGCAGGCCUAACACAUGCAAGUCGAACGGUAACAGGAAACAGCUUGCUGUUUCGCUGACGAGUGGCGGACGGGUGAGUAAUGUCUGGGAAACUGCCUGAUGGAGGGGGAUAACUACUGGAAACGGUAGCUAAUACCGCAUAAUGUCGCAAGACCAAAGAGGGGGACCUUCGGGCCUCUUGCCAUCGGAUGUGCCCAGAUGGGAUUAGCUGGUAGGUGGGGUAACGGCUCACCUAGGCGACGAUCCCUAGCUGGUCUGAGAGGAUGACCAGCCACACUGGAACUGAGACACGGUCCAGACUCCUACGGGAGGCAGCAGUGGGGAAUAUUGCACAAUGGGCGCAAGCCUGAUGCAGCCAUGCCGCGUGUAUGAAGAAGGCCUUCGGGUUGUAAAGUACUUUCAGCGGGGAGGAAGGGAGUAAAGUUAAUACCUUUGCUCAUUGACGUUACCCGCAGAAGAAGCACCGGCUAACUCCGUGCCAGCAGCCGCGGUAAUACGGAGGGUGCAAGCGUUAAUCGGAAUUACUGGGCGUAAAGCGCACGCAGGCGGUUUGUUAAGUCAGAUGUGAAAUCCCCGGGCUCAACCUGGGAACUGCAUCUGAUACUGGCAAGCUUGAGUCUCGUAGAGGGGGGUAGAAUUCCAGGUGUAGCGGUGAAAUGCGUAGAGAUCUGGAGGAAUACCGGUGGCGAAGGCGGCCCCCUGGACGAAGACUGACGCUCAGGUGCGAAAGCGUGGGGAGCAAACAGGAUUAGAUACCCUGGUAGUCCACGCCGUAAACGAUGUCGACUUGGAGGUUGUGCCCUUGAGGCGUGGCUUCCGGAGCUAACGCGUUAAGUCGACCGCCUGGGGAGUACGGCCGCAAGGUUAAAACUCAAAUGAAUUGACGGGGGCCCGCACAAGCGGUGGAGCAUGUGGUUUAAUUCGAUGCAACGCGAAGAACCUUACCUGGUCUUGACAUCCACGGAAGUUUUCAGAGAUGAGAAUGUGCCUUCGGGAACCGUGAGACAGGUGCUGCAUGGCUGUCGUCAGCUCGUGUUGUGAAAUGUUGGGUUAAGUCCCGCAACGAGCGCAACCCUUAUCCUUUGUUGCCAGCGGUCCGGCCGGGAACUCAAAGGAGACUGCCAGUGAUAAACUGGAGGAAGGUGGGGAUGACGUCAAGUCAUCAUGGCCCUUACGACCAGGGCUACACACGUGCUACAAUGGCGCAUACAAAGAGAAGCGACCUCGCGAGAGCAAGCGGACCUCAUAAAGUGCGUCGUAGUCCGGAUUGGAGUCUGCAACUCGACUCCAUGAAGUCGGAAUCGCUAGUAAUCGUGGAUCAGAAUGCCACGGUGAAUACGUUCCCGGGCCUUGUACACACCGCCCGUCACACCAUGGGAGUGGGUUGCAAAAGAAGUAGGUAGCUUAACCUUCGGGAGGGCGCUUACCACUUUGUGAUUCAUGACUGGGGUGAAGUCGUAACAAGGUAACCGUAGGGGAACCUGCGGUUGGAUCACCUCCUUA